rnacentral:rRNA from 1 species
UACGAAGGGGGCUAGCGUUGUUCGGAUUUACUGGGCGUAAAGCGCACGUAGGCGGCUUCUUAAGUCAGGGGUGAAAUCCUGGAGCUCAACUCCAGAACUGCCUUUGAUACUGAGUAGCUUGAGUCCGGGAGAGGUGAGUGGAACUGCGAGUGUAGAGGUGAAAUUCGUAGAUAUUCGCAAGAACACCAGUGGCGAAGGCGGCUCACUGGCCCGGUACUGACGCUGAGGUGCGAAAGCGUGGGGAGCAAACAGG